rnacentral:rRNA from 1 species
GACGAACGCUGGCGGCGUGCUUAACACAUGCAAGUCGAACGGUAAGGCCCUUCGGGGUACACGAGUGGCGAACGGGUGAGUAACACGUGGGUGAUCCGCCCUGCACUUCGGGAUAAGCCUGGGAAACUGGGUCUAAUACCGGAUAGGACCCUGGGAUGCAUGUCCUGGGGUGGAAAGCUUUUGCGGUGUGGGAUGGGCCCGCGGCCUAUCAGCUUGUUGGUGGGGUGAUGGCCUACCAAGGCGACGACGGGUAGCCGGCCUGAGAGGGUGACCGGCCACACUGGGACUGAGAUACGUCCCAGACUCCUACGGGAGGCAGCCGUGGGGAAUAGUGCACAAUGGGCGCAAGCCUGAUGCAGCGACGCCGCGUGAGGGAUGACGGCCUUCGGGUUGUAAACCUCUUUCAGCACCGACGAAGCGCAAGUGACGGUAGGUGCAGAAGAAGGACCGGCCAACUACGUGCCAGCCGCCGCCAGUAA